CUGGAGUCUGCAAGAAGCACAGUUGAUUUCCCGGGCUUUUGAGUGGUUUGAUCUGGUGAGGACAAGGGCAGAAGCAGGUGCAGGGUCUGGUCAUAUCGGAGGCAGACAACAAUAGGGGUGACGCGCGUUACCAGAAAGAUACCUGGUGGUGAUGUUUCCUGAGAACAUCCAGCCUUAGGGAAAACGCUAAAGAAUGGAUAUUGUAUGAAAGGUUUCAGUUGGCUUCUUACAUUUGCUUUCUUGAAGAUUGAAUGGAUCAAGUCACCUCGUUCACAACAUCAUAUGCUUACCGUAUUUUUCGCCCUAUAAGACGCACCGGCCCAUAAGACGCACCUAGGUUUUUGGGGAGGAAAAUAAGAAAAAAAACAUUUUUAACCAAAAGGUGUGCUG